UACGAAGGGGGCUAGCGUUGCUCGGAAUUACUGGGCGUAAAGGGCGCGUAGGCGGCCACCGCAAGUCGACUGUGAAAUCUCCGGGCUUAACCCGGAAAGGUCAGCCGAUACUGCGGGCUAGAGUGCAGAAGGGGCAACUGGAAUUCUCGGUGUAGCGGUGAAAUGCGUAGAUAUCGAGAGGAACACCUGCGGCGAAGGCGGGUUGCUGGGCUGACACUGACGCUGAGGCGCGAAAGCUAGGGGAGCGAACGGG
rnacentral:rRNA from 1 species